rnacentral:misc_RNA from 1 species
AUUGUUUCGAACGGACGCCUUUUUCUUUUGCGAAAAAGGUGGACGGAUCGGUAGUGAGGAUUUUUUGCCAUUUUCACCGUGGCUUCCUCGAAAAGCAUGAGCGCAUCCAUUUAAUAGGCGAGACGGACGAAGGCUUGUAUUUUUCGCUCUGUUCUUUCCUGCCGGGUUUUGAUAAUAUCGAAGCUUCGGAGGUCAAAGACAGGGUUCGAGCUGGACGCAACGACUUGCUGGUUGGAGUGCUUCUAACCCCGCCCAUGCCUGCAAAGGAAGGGAUUUUUUUAUUCAAUU